rnacentral:rRNA from 1 species
CUACGGGCCGCAGCAGUGGGGAAUAUUGCACAAUGGGCGCAAGCCUGAUGCAGCCAUGCCGCGUGUAUGAAGAAGGCCUUCGGGUUGUAAAGUACUUUCAGCGGGGAGGAAGGGAGUAAAGUUAAUACCUUUGCUCAUCGACGUUACCCGCAGAAGAAGCACCGGCUAAGUCCGUGCCAGCAGCCGCGGUAAUACGGAGGGUGCAAGCGUUAAUCGGAAUUACUGGGCGUAAAGCGCACGCAGGCGGUUUGUUAAGUCAGAUGUGAAAUCCCCGGGCUCAACCUGGGAACUGCAUCUGAUACUGGCAAGCUUGAGUCUCGUAGAGGGGGGUAGAAUUCCAGGUGUAGCGGUGAAAUGCGUAGAGAUCUGGAGGAAUACCGGUGGCGAAGGCGGCCCCCUGGACGAAGACUGACGCUCAGGUGCGAAAGCGUGGGGAGCAAACAGGAUUAGAUACCCGAGUAGUC